CUCAAGAGAGCAAGAUGUUCUCGUGUUGCUUCCCCACUUCGAGAGGUUGCUGCUUCAGGAAUGGAGGGAGUGAGAGCCUUUUCCGACAAUGCCGAAGAAGGCUCAUCCCUCACCCCAGACGCCUGUGGCCCUUUGUAAGAAGGCGCACCCAGGUACCACAGGACAGCCCGGGGCAGGCCCUAGCUGGCCAGGCCACACCAUAGAUCCCAUCGGGGCUGCCUCUGUACAUUGUCCUUGUCCAGGAGGAGAUUCGGGAGCCCAUGGAGGCACAGACACAUGCUCCUGGUCCAUACGCAGACAUAGCAGCACUUGCGGCACCGGCUGUCGAGCCAAAGCCAGCAUGGGAAGAGCCCCCUCCAGAGAGAGCGCUGGAGGUGGAGGGAGCUCCAGCCAAGGACCAGCCCAGCCAGGAGCUGCCUGAAAUCAUGGCACCUACUGUAGCCACUGGCCUUAAUGCUGGAGCUGAAAACGUGGCUGGAGAGAGAAGUGGGAGGGAGGGGGUGACAAGCACAGCCCCAGCCAGCAGAUCCCAUGCUGCCCCUAGUCCUGGGCAUGGUGGCAAACAUGGAGGCGGAGACCAGGGCAUUCAGACUGGACUCCUGUACCUCGCUGGAGAGAGGCUUCUCUCAUUCACUAGAACCACAGCCCUGCUGCUGCAGGGCCUGUUUAUUGUGCUAAUGCUGGUGGGGUAUAUCUCUGUGCAGGUGGUGCUCAAGAGCAUUAAAACAAGGCUGGGAAGAAGAGUUCCAGCAGCUCCUCCUGCUCUCAGACGCAAUCUUCUCCUCCAGGCAUGGAUGUGUGUCUGCAACUGGGCAUCCAGGCUGUUUGCCCCCUAAUGUGCUGCCCCGAACGGGCUCUUAACAGGUGGGCAGGGGUUGAGGGGACCAGGAGGUGGCUCCAAAGGGUACAGCAAGGAAAGCUUUUAAAGACAGCUGUUGUGCUCCAGGCUCUCCAUGCCACCACCUG
rnacentral:lncRNA from 1 species